GCCCUCACCUCUGCAGCACAGAUACUAACACUGGAAUUACAGAGAAGACUUGCAUGUCGCCUGUGCAAAGACGACACACAAAUUGGGAAGCGUCUCAUAUUUUU